UACGUAGGGUGCAAGCGUUGUCCGGAAUUAUUGGGCGUAAAGAGCUCGUAGGCGGUUUGUUGCGUCGGCUGUGAAAUCCCGAGGCUCAACCUCGGGUCUGCAGUCGAUACGAGCAAACUAGAGUGUUGCAGGGGAGACUGGAAUUCCUGGUGUAGCGGUGAAAUGCGCAGAUAUCAGGAGGAACACCGGUGGCGAAGGCGGAUCUCUGGGCCGUAACUGACGCUGAGGAGCGAAAGCAUGGGGAGCGAACAGG
rnacentral:rRNA from 1 species